UGGGGAAUAUUGCGCAAUGGGCGAAAGCCUGACGCAGCGACGCCGCGUGAAGGAUGAAGGUCUUCGGAUUGUAAACUUCUGUUAAGUGGGAAGAAAAUAUCACCAGUAAUAUGGGUGAGAAAUGACGGUACCAUUAGAGAAAGCACCGGCUAACUUCGUGCCAGCAGCCGCGGUAAUACGAGGGGUGCUAGCGUUAUUCGGAAUUAUUGGGCGUAAAGGGUGUGUAGACGGUAUAUUAAGUCUGCUGUUAAAUUUUCCGGCCUAACCGGAAGUCAGCGGUGGAUACUGAUGUACUAGAGGAUGGAAGAGAGAAGUGGAAUUCUCGGAGUAGCGGUAAAAUGCGUAGAUCUCGAGAGGAACACCAAUGGCGAAGGCAGCUUCUUGGUCCAUAUCUGACGUUGAAACACGAAAGCGUGGGGAGCAAACAGGAUUAGAUACCCGGGUAGUCC
rnacentral:rRNA from 1 species